GGGAGCGCCGAUGGAGGGGAGGGGUGGAAUGGGGGCGCGGAGACCCCACCUGGACGCAGAGGCUCGCGGCAGGCCCGGCCGCUCGGGCCGUUGUGGGGGCCGAGCCCGACCGCGCGCACAGCUUCUAGUGGCCCGCAGGAUUCCUCCUGGGGCGGCGCUGGGAGCCUCGGGGCUCGGCUUCCUCGAUCCCCGCCCCCAGAUUUCCUCUGCAGGCUGAGGUCGGGAAGGACGGAAGGAGAGUGGAUCCUGCAGGUGGUGGGAAAAGCUUAACAGCCUGGUGCCAGUUACCCUGCGAUGGGAGAGGGGGCAGCCCCCACAGAAGCACGGGCUUAUGGGGCCCCAGUUCCUUCAGUGCUCACCCCACGAAGAAGGGCUCUCAAACGGCCCCACUGGACGGCUCACCGGAGGAUGGUCCUGCGCAGUGGGUGUUUGUUGAACAGAUAAGAAAAGAGACUAAGAAGAGGCCUGCUCUAUGAACCGGGGAAAGUGAAGGAGUCACAGAGGAGCGGCUCGCCUUAGGGCAAUCCUGGGGAAAAGAUGGAGAGGCAUGGAUUCUUCAUGGAUGUGUGCCUCAUCCUGGGGCUCAUCCCUCUGAGCAUCAAAUAUUCAUUGCAAAAGAGGAGAAAAAAAAUCUGCUGCGGACAGUGCUGGCUGGUCUGAUCUCUCCCUUGGCCAGAAUUAACGGGGCAAUUCCUAAUCCCUCUUGGUCUUCAGAAUCACCUGGCCUAUGCACACUCCCUCUAAAUCACUGAAGUCCAAUUUCUGGGAGCGCAGCCAGGGAAUGUAUAUUUUUAAACAAGCCCCCCAGGUUACUCUGAUAAGUGCAAAGUCAGAGAGCGCUGCUGUCAUGCACUGAGCCUGAGCACUAUUCUAUUAAUAAAAAAGGAGAGGAGAAUCCUGGGUGUCUUAAGGUGGCAGUUGGGCGGCCUUCGCCUUCUGGCGGCAGAAGAGCAGAGCCAGGCUCUAAGCACCUGCACCCACCGCUGGGCUCAGGAUCUGUGCUGGAGAAUAGAAGGGCUAAUUUAAUUAUUCAUGCCUUUUUAGAGCAAAUUACAUGUGGAGAAGGUGGGACACACUGAAUUUUAUUUUAGCCAAAUGCCCCUUAUCUCCUUAUACAAUUGAUAUUUUUAUAUUGAACAUUAGAGGAUUGGUCAUUUGUCAUCAAAUCGUCUGUAAUACAGAAAACGAUAGAUACAGCCUAGCAGUUCAAACAUGACGAGUUAAAUAAAUGAUGGUUAAAAAUA